GUCCCCUUCGUCUAGAGGCCUAGGACACCGCCCUUUCACGGCGGCAACACGGGUUCGAAUCCCGUAGGGGACGCCA
rnacentral:tRNA from 4 species